UUUUUGAAAUAAAGCUUGAACCCUUUUCGAAAGUAAGGAAGACUUUCUUGAAACUUUUGAAAGUCUACGGUUAAUUUUGACACACACAUCAAAACCCAUCUGAUAAACCCCCUUCAACUCUUCUUCCAAUUCGGCCGUAAUCCUUCUGAAACCCUAUGUAAUUUGUUCGCCAAUCCAUCGAAUUUUCUUCUCUUUUACUCGUAUUCUUCGUCAUUUUCUGUUCCAAUUUCGUUUUUCCCUUAAGAAAAUACACAGUUGAACGGAUUUCCCCACCUUUCCUCUUCGAAUCUACACCUAUAUUGCAUAUUUUCGUCUUCCUCUGUCGUUGUGUUUUCAUCCCUGAUUUCAUUUUCCCUUCGUUGAAACCCUUUUGCGUUUUCGUUGAGGGUUGUGUGCACGUUGCCUCUGAAACGGAUCGCUUCCUCUUUGUGUUUUCAUUGAUCGGUUGCCGCUCACACUCGUUGUCUCUUAAACUUCUCGCCUUCCUCUCUAUGUUUCCGUUCACAGCUUUGCUGUAACAGUUGUUGGUCCUACUUCCCCUUGCCGCGCAUUUGUUUCAACCUUAAGGUGCUUCAAGUGACGGAUGUUAUGCCCAAAUACCAUAUUCUAUUGAGUUUCAAUAUAGAAUUUGUAAAAGACAAACAAGAAUUUCAGUCCACUCUUACCGCGUCGGGUCCAAUGUGCUUGGUGGGUACGAGGGAUUUGCAUCUGAUGAUGGCAACGAUAUGGAGUUUCCCACAAUGUACAGUCAAAGACUAGACAUAUCACCUGACGAAAUAAUGGAGACACGAUCCCGUGCAGGUGACAGAAGGAAUGCUUCUAGCAAAUCAAAGAGGAAAUGGAGAGGACAGUCGAUAGAAACUGCACACAUACUUCGCAAUGUCAUUGAGUACGAUAAUGAGUAGCUCUUCUAGCAAAUCAAAGAGGAAAUGGAGAGGACAGUCGAUAGAAACUGCACACAUACUUCGCAAUGUCAUUGAGUACGAUAAUGAGUAGCUUAACUGCAUUGCAUACUAGUCGAUAUUACAAUGGAAAGAUGCAAGCACACUAUGACAAGAGGUCAUUCGAUAGUUACAUGCCAUCCCCAAAUUGACUAAAAUCGAUAGGUGUCGCUGUAUGCGUAUACUAAUGCACAACGUUAGCGACAUGAAAGCAUUCCAUGAAUUUAAACUUAUGUAUGGUCAUUCUCCGAGAAAACCCUUGAGUGCUUUUCGAUAUCUUUAUCUGCAUUGUUUACGAUCUUUUCAUAUAUAUUGGUAUUUUGUUGUUAUGUGAACGACAAUUUGUAGUGAACCAAUUCUUCACAAUUGUUCAGCUUCAAACUUUUA